AUACGGAGGGGACUAGCGUUGUUCGGAAUUACUGGGCGUAAAGAGUUCGUAGGCGGACUGACAAGUAAGAGGUGAAAUCCCAGGGCUCAACCCUGGAACUGCCUUUUAAACUGUUAGUCUAGAGACCGGAAGAGGUUAGGGAAUACCUAGUGUUGAGGUGAAAUUCGUAGAUAUUAGGUGGAACACCAGUGGCGAAGGCGCCUAACUGGUCCGGUACUGACGCUGAGGAACGAAAGCGUGGGGAGCAAACAGGAUUAGAAACCCCAGUAGUCC
rnacentral:rRNA from 1 species